rnacentral:lncRNA from 1 species
AACACUUGAAAAUGCUAAAAAGAGGGAAAAGUGAGUUAUUUUCUCAAUAGUUUUCAGCAAAUCAAAUAAGUGAAAACUUCAAAAACAAAGAAAAAAUCGACUCGUUUUUCAAAUUCUGGCAACUAAAACGUCAAUUCCUAGCAAAUUCAACAAGUGAAAACUGCAAAAAAUGAAGGAAAAAUUGAUUCUUUUCUCUAAUUCCGG